rnacentral:rRNA from 1 species
AACGAACGCUGGCGGCAGGCCUAACACAUGCAAGUCGAGCGCCCUUUCGGGGGAGCGGCGGACGGGUGAGUAACGCGUGGGAAUAUGCCCUUCUCUACGGAAUAGCCUCGGGAAACUGAGAGUAAUACCGUAUACGCCCUGUGGGGGAAAGAUUUAUCGGGGAAGGAUUAGCCCGCGUUGGAUUAGGUAGUUGGUGGGGUAAUGGCCUACCAAGCCGACGAUCCAUAGCUGGUUUGAGAGGAUGAUCAGCCACACUGGGACUGAGACACGGCCCAGACUCCUACGGGAAGCAGCAGUGGGGAAUCUUAUACAAUGGGGGCAACCCUGAUCUAGCCAUGCCGCGUGAGUGAUGAAGGCCUUAGGGUUGUAAAGCUCUUUCAGCUGGGAAGAUAAUGACGGUACCAGCAGAAGAAGCCCCGGCUAACUCCGUG